UCCAAGAAUUGUCCUGUGAGAAGAUUUAGUUUCGUUCCUCUUUUUUAUUUUGUUUCCUUUUCUUUCUUUUCUUUGUUUAUCAGUAUAUAUUAGUAAGCAAUCGGUUGCUACAUGCUGCAUCUUUUUCUUCCUCUCCAAUUCUUGAUUUAGAAAUUUAUACAAAAAGGAAAGCUUCUUGUGCUUGGAAUUUAGUAACUGGGCUCAGCUUUUGGAAGCUACCUAUGUUGUUUCUGCUCCAUGAAUGAUAAACCCCACCUGUGUCAUCGCCUUUCUGGUACACCAUUACACAAUUUGAGCGAAUUAUACGCUAUUGUGGUAACUGUGAGAAACAUUAUUUGCAUAGAAUGAAGGGCAAAAGAAAGAAGU
rnacentral:lncRNA from 1 species